rnacentral:rRNA from 1 species
AGGGUUUGAUCAUGGCUCAGGACGAACGCUGGCGGCGUGCUUAACACAUGCAAGUCGAACGAGGACCUGGUGCUUGCACCAGCGAGCCGAGUGGCGGACGGGUGAGUAACACGUGACCAACCUACCUUUGGGAGGGGGAUAACCUGGGGAAACCCGGACUAAUACCGCAUAUCGUCCACGGGCCGCAUGGCCUGUGGAUAAAAGGGAGCCUCUGCUUGCAAGCUCUCACCCAAAGAGGGGGUCGCGGCGUAUCAGCUAGUUGGUGGGGUAAUGGCCUACCAAGGCAGCGACGCGUAGCGGGUCUGAGAGGACGACCCGUCACAUUGGGACUGAGAUACGGCCCAGACUCCUACGGGAGGCAGCAGUGGGGAAUAUUGCGCAAUGGCCGAAAGGUUGACGCAGCGACGCCGCGUGUGGGAGGACGCCCUUCGGGGUGUAAACCACUGUCAGGGGGGAAGAACUUCGUAGGUGUGAAUAGCGCUUACGGUUGACGGUACCCCCAAAGGAAGCGCCGGCUAACUCCGUGCCAGCAGCCGCGGUAAGACGGAGGGCGCAAGCGUUGUUCGGAAUUACUGGGCGUAAAGGGCAGGUAGGUGGCCCGUUAAGUCUUCUGUGAAAAUCCGGAGCUCAACUCCGUGAA